GGGGGGGGGGGCAAGCGUUGUUCGGAAUUACUGGGCGUAAAGGGCGCGUAGGCGGGUCCCGCAAGUCCUCCGUGAAAUCCCACAGCUCAACUGUGGAACUGCGAGGGAAACUGCAGGACUUGAGUCCGGGAGAGGAGAGUGGAAUUCCCAGUGUAGCGGUGAAAUGCGUAGAUAUUGGGAGGAACACCGGUGGCGAAGGCGGCUCUCUGGACCGGUACUGACGCUGAGGCGCGAAAGCUAGGGGAGCAAACGGGAUUAGAUACCCCGGUAGUCCUAGCCUUAAACGAUGAGCACUUGGUGUGGCGGGUAUCGACCCCUGCCGUGCCGAAGCUAACGCAUUAAGUGCUCCGCCUGGGGAGUACGGUCGCAAAGGCUG
rnacentral:rRNA from 1 species